rnacentral:rRNA from 1 species
AACGAACGCUGGCGGCAUGCCUAACACAUGCAAGUCGAACGAGACCUUCGGGUCUAGUGGCGCACGGGCGCGUAACGCGUGGGAACCUGCCUUUAGGUUCGGAAUAACUCAGAGAAAUUUGAGCUAAUACCGGAUGAUGUCUUCGGACCAAAGAUUUAUCGCCUUUAGAUGGGCCCGCGUUGGAUUAGCUAGUUGGUGGGGUAAAGGCCUACCAAGGCGACGAUCCAUAGCUGGUCUGAGAGGAUGAUCAGCCACGCUGGGACUGAGACACGGCCCAGACUCCUACGGGAGGCAGCAGUGGGGAAUAUUGGACAAUGGGCGAAAGCCUGAUCCAGCAAUGCCGCGUGAGUGAUGAAGGCCUUAGGGUUGUAAAGCUCUUUUACCCGAGAUGAUAAUGACAGUAUCGGGAGAAUAAGCUCCGGCUAACUCCGUG